ensembl:lncRNA
CAGGGAGGAGCUGCGGGAUGGGGGUGGUCUGAACGUUGUCCUCUGGUGUACAGGCCCUACUUCCACAUUCCGGAGGGAAAUUAAGAAAGUCACGGGGAAAGAAACAUCGCCCUUCUCAGCUGGCAUCGCCGAGAGACCACCCGUCCCUCUAGGUCACUCUGCCCCACAGGGGACUGCACGUCCAGAAUGCUUCGCAGGUAGGCGGGCAGUAGGACGUCAGCAGCCUGCGACCACUUCCGGCGCCCUGCUGACAACGUCUGCUGGGAGCUGUGACAGACAGGAGGCCCCGACCCACGAGUCGCAGUUUUGUCGGACUCUUUGUGAUCCCAUGGACUGCAGCACGCCUGGCUUAUCUCUUUCACUAUCUCCCAGUGCUUGCUCAAACUCACGUCCCUGAGUCUCUGAUGCCAUCCAACUGUUAGGGGAAGCACACUGAUUGAAACCGCCCACCCUGGCCAGGCACCGCAUGAGUUGUUUUAUGACAGGAGAUCCUCAUAAGGAAUAUGGAACUAAUAAGCCACCACCAACCGGAAGAGUUCGGGAAAGGUUGAAAGGAGACACUGUGUGUCCGUGCACUUCCCAGAAUCCCUCUCACUAGCGUCCACCUCCGCUGAGCCAUGCGCGCCACCAGGAAAGACUCUGAAUUAGAAUGAUUGGCCAAAGAACACCUGGAAAUUUUCCCAUCACCUUAAAACCUGAGACUGCAAGCCACAGGACAGAGCAGUUCUCCUGGGCUCCCUUACCCUACUGCUCUCCACCCAGGUGCCCUUUCCCAAUAAAAUCUCUUGCUUUGUCAGCAGAUGUGUCUCCUUGGACAAUUCAUUUCCGAGUGUUAGACAAGAACCGUUUUGGGCCCUGGAAGGGAUCCCCCUUCCUGCAACACAACUGCAGUGACCCAAGGAGGAGAGAGCAGAUAAAACCAAGUAGGGUCUUGGAAUAUAGGAACAGAAAAACCAGACCCUCCCCCAUGUUGUAACUAUUAGUGGAACUGUAUAAUCUCUCUCCUCCUACCCCACAGGGAGAAGGUAUUUGCCCUACUCUUCCCCCACCCAGUAUACAUGCCUCAUCCAAUCAGCAAAAGCCCCACAAGACCCCAAUCCCACUCCUUGUACCUUGGUUAUAAAGGUGGGCUAAGGACCCCUGUUCAACAUUGUUCACCCUUGAGCUGGCCCCCUGUUCUAACAGCCUCUCCCAGUCUAAUAAACUUUUUUUCCCCCUCUCAUUCUGUCUCAUGUCUGGAAAUUCUUUUCCAACCUGCACCCAGACCAGGACACCAACCAUCUCAUCCUCUGUCAUGCCCUUCUCCUCCUGCCUUCAAUCUUUCCCAGCAUCAGGGUCUUUUCUAAUGACUGGCCUCUUCAGGUGGCCAAAGUACUGGAGCUUCAGUUUCAGCACCAUUCUUCCCAGUGAAUAUUCAAGACUGACUUCCUUUAGAACUGACUGGUUUUGAAACCGUUUAUCUCAAAGUGGGACUUGAACCCAUGUGCUGGGACUGGAAACCAGCCAAAACCCUGCUUGGGACUCGAACCCAUCCAAAACCUAGUUUGGGACCUGAACCCAGCCAAAACUCAUAGUACCUGGUUUCAGGGCCUAAUAAUAGUCAAGGCUAUGGUUUUUCCAGUGGUCAUGUAUGGAUGUGAGAGUUGGGCUAUAAAGAAAGCUGAGCGCCGAAGAA